UCUACUUCUCCUCAAUUAUCGUAUUUGAUGUUUACUUGUUUCCAAGAGUAACAUAUUUCUGUUUGGUAGAUGAGCAUUAAGGGUUGAACAGGAAAAAAGAAAGACACUAAUCUUAUUCCUAAUUCUUUUUUAUUUUUCUAUUUGUUCCCUAGAAAUAUUAGUCUUCAUAUUUCUGUAUGUUGUCUGAAACGGAAAACGUGUCCUGAACAUGGAGAGGCAAUGCCUAAUAGUUAUUUUUAAGUUUUUAGAUUUUGAUAUUGUUUUGUUCUUAGUUUCUCUCUUUAAUGUUCCUUUUAUAUUUAUUCAGUACUUUCAAUUGUUAAAAUGUUGUUUAUUUCUGAGAAGGCUGUGAUGUUUCUGGUUAUGGGAAAGCCGGUGUGCUUGAUUUUUCAUUCCAGUGUCAUAUUUUGUGCUUUCUAUCAGAAUAUUUUAUAUGAGGUAAGCUCUCUUGCUUGCCCAACAGAAUUUUUUGUCUUUUUCCUUGUCAUCCCUAAUGUUCAUUAUCAAACAGAAAAUUCUUCAUAUAACAUGUAAUAUGAACAUCAAAUAUAAGAACAAUGGAGAAGUGGGGUUUCAAAAUGAAUAUUUCACUUACAGUUUGAGAGAAUAUUACCUGAUAAACCAAGAUCUAAAAGGGAAGUUUGUUAAAAAGGGCAUUUCAGGUUAGGGUUUGAAGAAGUGAGAUGGAGCCUCCAUUUGGCAAAACUUAUAAACAAUAAUUGGUCAAACUUCAUUUUCAAUCAAACAUUUCAAUGACCCACAAGUGCCAUCCAAUUAUCUGUCGCUCAUCUUCUAUCUAUGUAGAAAUUAAAAACCAUUCAUAAAUUCUUCCUAAACGGAGGUAGAAAUUGUAAGAGAGUCCAUUGAGUGAAAAAAAGAGGAUGAAAUAAUAACCAAGUUCAUAUCCUUUAUUUGGCCUUUAUUUUUGAAAGAUGAUCAUUAUGCUAUUAGUUUAAAUUAUUAUAAAGAGAAACUGAACCUUUUGAUAGGCGGAGAACCAAAUUUAUCUACUCUGCAAGUCAUUCAGUCUGUUGCCCCCUCCCCUCCACUUGUGUAUUUCUCUUCUGGGGAUUUUCAGCUGUCGACAAUAUUAUUUAGCUAGAAGUAGUCAUCUAAUGUAACUCUUUCUUCCCAUUCUAGGCACAUUUUUAAGAGUGGUUGUAAGGCUUUAUCCUGGUCCAUUUUGUGUUUACACCUGUGAAUAGGUUUUUGCUGUUGCUGUUUGUCUUUGAGUAUUGCCAUUUUAUCCCUAUCCUCAUGUGGCAUUAUAAGACCAAUUGAGAGUGUCUAGUUGGUCCUUUUAUGUGACCCUACCAUCACAUGGGGAUGAGACUAAUAGCAUAAUUUUUCUCUCUGUUGUUGGGUUUUCAUUUAAUGUUUAGGUUUCUUAGCAAUGGUAACUACUGAUAGGGUCAAGGUCGUCUUCUACAGUUGUGGAUUGAUGUACAGGUUUGAAUCCCCCCACUCUUCUUCAUAUCCAUACAGAUAAAUAAGGGAAAAAGCAAUCUUGCUCCAAAUUUAGUUACAUCUUAAUCAGCUACUUCUCAUUGCUGUAUUUUGUUCUGUGUGAGGAUUGUUUUAUUGUUGGGAGACUUUUUUUUUAACAAAUGGUGGGAGAGGGAACUUGCAUAUAGGACGGUGAGAACUAUAUACUCGAAAGUGCGGCAUGUAUUAAGGUGGUCACUUUUUCGGAAAAGAUCAUGAGUCUGAUGAUUUAGCCCCCUGUUUAGCUAAAAAUCAGUUUUUAAGUAGAUUUUGAUGAAAACUGAUGAAAUAUGUUGUUGAAAAGUUGAUAAAGUUGUAGAUUCUAUGCGGGGUUGAAAAUGAAGCAUGAAGAAAAAUGAGUUUUAGAAAAUGGGGGUCAAACAUGGAGUUAAUACAAUUGGAUGGGCAUAUAAUGCUCUGCCAUUGAGAUGGUAAUGUCUAACUCAAGUGUAUCAAAAAUUGUGUGUUAAAUUUUUUUGCAGUUGCAUCUCUGUGCAGCAUAGUUUUUUUAUUAAGACUGUUGAUUGCUUUCUAUGGACACUUGCAGGAAUAAUAUACGAAUGGGAUUGGAUAAUAUUAAAUAAGAAAAAUGAAAAUGAAAUAUUGUUUGUAAUGCUAUCCAGCAGUGUCGACUAUUGCUUAUUGAACAUGCCGAAUAAUGUAUUGUUUGCGAUGAUUUUUAAUAUUUCAUUUGUUUCACUCCUUGGAAU
rnacentral:lncRNA from 1 species